rnacentral:rRNA from 1 species
GACGAAGGUGGCGAGCGUUGUUCGGAAUCACUGGGCAUAAAGCGCACGUAGGCGGCGGCGUAAGUUGGAUGUGAAAUCCCCCGGCCCAACCGGGGAACUGCGUCCAGUACUGCGUUGCUUGAGGAUCCAAGGGGUGCAUGGAAUUCCCGGUGGAGCGGUGAAAUGCGUUGAUAUCGGGAGGAACUCCGGCGGCGAAAGCGGCUUCCUGGUCCAGCACCGACGUUCAGGCACGAAAGCGUGGGGAGCAAACAGG